UAAAUUGUUCUAAGUUGGGGCCCUUGUGCUUCAUACUUGAACAUCCAAGAUCAACUCCCUCCUUGCUUGGACCUUUUGUAAGUGUCCUUUCAUGCUUAAUUUAGGAGCCCAGUAAAAGCUAUCUGUACUUGCUUGGUGGUAUACGGCUGGGAUAAAUUGUAUAAAUUUGCUCAGGUAAAUACUUUUAACUUAUUUUCCCUAUACGGGCUUGGGGUACGGUAUAUAAAAUACCGCUUGGUCGGGCAUUGAAUCUUUAAUCAAAUGAAGGUUAAAUCAUUGAAAUGACCCGUUAAAAUUGUUUUGUUUGCUUAAAGCCUUUGGGGGGUUAAUGACCAUGUCCCGGAUAUCCUUGGCAUCAUUUUAUGAAAUGGCCACGACCUAAGCAUGCGGGUGUAGGCGUACACCCGUUUGUGCAUAAAUAAAUAUUAAGGUAUAACCGCCGGUUUUGGGUUUAACCGCUGCGGGAAUAUACCAUGUGGUGUGUCUAUUGAUCUUUAACCCGGUGUCAACCCGGGCUACUGAACGCAUAAGAAACAUGUAAAUCUUUUACAAGUUUAUAUUCAAAUAAUUGUCCCAAUUUAUAAAA
rnacentral:lncRNA from 1 species